rnacentral:rRNA from 1 species
AGCAAGCGCACGAAGGCGUACACAGCUACCAAGGACAAGCUUCUUUGCGAGUGUUGGCAAGACAUUGGACAAGACGCAAAGACGGGCGCCGAGCAAAAGCAUUCGACCUUUUGGACUCGUGUGCACCGCGAGUUUCAUGAGCGCAAGAAGUUUACACCUUACCAAUUUGUGAGCACGCGCGGGUGGGUCUCCAUUUCCAAGCGGUUGAGGGUGAUCCAACAAGAGUGCAACAAGUUUUGCGCCAUCCUUGAGAGCGUCAAGGCCCGCCCCGUGAGCGGCAUCGGCGUGCAAGACAUGGUAUGA